rnacentral:rRNA from 1 species
UACAGAGGUCCCAAGCGUUCUUCGGAUUCACUGGGCGUAAAGGGUGCGUAGGUGGUGGGGUAAGUCUGAUGUGAAAUCUUCGAGCUUAACUCGGAAAUGGCAUUGGAUACUACUCUGCUAGAGGUUUGGAGGGGGGACUGGAAUUCUCGGUGUAGCAGUGAAAUGCGUAGAUAUCGAGAGGAACACCAGUGGCGAAGGCGAGUCCCUGGACAACACCUGACACUGAGGCACGAAAGCUAGGGGAGCAAACAGG